rnacentral:rRNA from 1 species
UACGGGGGGGGCAAGCGUUGUUCGGAAUUACUGGGCGUAAAGGGCGCGUAGGCGGCCUGCUAAGUCGGACGUGAAAUCCCCCGGCUCAACCGGGGAACUGCGUCUGAUACUGGAUGGCUUGAAUCCGGGAGAGGGAUGCAGAAUUCCAGGUGUAGCGGUGAAAUGCGUAGAUAUCUGGAGGAAUACCGGUGGCGAAGGCGGCAUCCUGGACCGGCAUUGACGCUGAGGAGCGAAAGCCAGGGGAGCAAACGGG